CACCCAGCCAGGGAGUUGACCUGAUACAAGCCUUGGUCUCCUGGAGAGUGACAGAGACUCACUUCCAUCUCUGCAGCAUUCGUCAAGGUCACCCAGAGGAGGCCACUUGUGUGGCAAAGAUCAAACACAAAAAAGAAGGCCAGGUGCAGGUCACACCCACCCGGUUUGCCCAGGCUCUGCAGGGGGCACUAGGCACAGGCCUCUGGAUUCAAGCUACACCCAGGGGCCUUGUCGUUCUGGCCUGGGGGUCCCGUGGUCUGGUCUUCAUCCUCCCUUCGGAGGAAGAGUCAAGGGAUUCUGAGCUCUGCCAACUCGCCCUCUGAGAAGUGGAACUGGAGGGUCAGCGCACGCAGCAGACCCUAUUUGUGUAGCAGAAUGUACCAGCUUGGACUAGACAGUCACCGACUAGAGGGACAUCAAGUCACAUCUACUUCCAGGUCAUCUAGGCUGGGCUUGAUCUUUUGAUCCUCCUGCCUCAGCCUCCUAGAGUGAUGGGAU
rnacentral:lncRNA from 1 species